rnacentral:tRNA from 1 species
GGGCGUGUGGCGGAACUGGCAUACGCAUACGCUUCAGGAGCGUAUUCCGCAAGGAUUGAGGGUUCGAAUCCCUCCACGCCCA